rnacentral:rRNA from 1 species
CCAGGAUUAGAUACCCUGGUAGUCCACGCUGUAAACGAUGUCGAUUUGGAGUUUGUUGCCUAGAGUGAUGGGCUCCGAAGCUAACGCGAUAAAUCGACCGCUGGGGAGUACGGCCGCAAGGUUAAAACUCAAAUGAAUUGACGGGGGCCCGCACAAGCGGUGGAGCAUGUGGUUUAAUUCGAUGCAACGCGAAGAACCUUACCUGGUCUUGACAUCCAUAGAAUUCUGCAGAGAUGUGGGAGUGCCUUCGGGAACUAUGAGACAGGUGCUGCAUGGCUGUCGUCAGCUCGUGUUGUGAAAUGUUGGGUUAAGUCCCGCAACGAGCGCAACCCUUAUUCUUUGUUGCCAGCGAUUUGGUCGGGAACUCAAAGGAGACUGCCGUUGAUAAAGCGGAGGAAGGUGGGGACGACGUCAAGUCAUCAUGGCCCUUACGACCAGGGCUACACACGUGCUACAAUGGCGUAUACAAAGGGAAGCGAAGGUGCGAGCUGGAGCGGAUCUCAUAAAGUACGUCUAAGUUCGGAUUGGAGUCUGCAACUCGACUCCAUGAAGUCGGAAUCGCUAGUAAUCGUAGAUCAGAAUGCUACGGUGAAUACGUUCCCGGGCCUUGUACACACCGCCCGUCACACCAUGGGAGUGGGUUGCACCAGAAGUAGAUAGCUUAACCGCGAGGGGGGCGUUUACCACGGUGUGAUUCAUGACUGGGGUGAAGUCGUAACAAGGUAACCA